UAAUACGGAGGGUGCAAGCGUUAUUCGGAAUUAUUGGGCGUAAAGGGCGCGUAGGCGGUCUUUUAAGUCAGAUGUGAAAGCCCGGGGCUUAACCCCGGAAGUGCAUUUGAAACUAAGGGACUUGAGUAUGGGAGAGGGAAGUGGAAUUCCUGGUGUAGAGGUGAAAUUCGUAGAUAUCAGGAGGAACACCGGUGGCGAAGGCGACUGCCUGGACUGAUACUGACACUGAGGUGCGAAAGCGUGGGUAGCGAACAGGAUUAGAUACCCUGGUAGUCCACGCCGUAAACGAUGACAACUAGACGUUGGGUUCCUUAGAGAACUUAGUGUCGAAGCUAACGCGUUAAGUUGUCCGCCUGGGGAGUACGGUCGCAAGAUUA
rnacentral:rRNA from 1 species